rnacentral:rRNA from 1 species
GACGAACGCUGGCGGCGUGCCUAAUACAUGCAAGUCGAGCGGAGCGGCGGACGGGUGAGUAAUGCCUAGGAAUCUGACUGGUAGUGGGGGAUAACGUCCGGAAACGGGCACGAAUACCGCAUCCUAUCGGAUGAGCCUAGGUCGGUUUAGGUCGUUGGGGGGGUAAAGGCCUACCAGGGCGACGAUCCGUAACGGGUCUGAGAGGCUGAUCAGUCACACUGGAACUGAGACACGGUCCAGACUCCUACGCGAGGCAGGAGUGGGGAAUAUGGGACAAUGGGCGAAAGCCUGAUCCAGCCAUGCCGCGUGUGUGAAGAAGGUCUUCGGGUUGUAAAGGACUUUUGUCAGGGAAGCGGUACCUGAAGAAUAAGCACCGGCUAACUACGUGACAGCAGCCGCGGUAAUUC